rnacentral:rRNA from 1 species
UACAGAGGUCUCAGGCGUUGUUCGGAUUCAUUGGGCGUAAAGGGUGUGUAGGUGGCGCGCUAAGUCGGGUGUGAAAUUUCGGAGCUUAACUCCGAAACUGCAUUCGAUACUGGCGUGCUUGAGGACUGGAGAGGAGACUGGAAUUCAUGGUGUAGCAGUGAAAUGCGUAGAGAUCAUGAGGAAGACCAGUGGCGAAGGCGGGUCUCUGGACAGUUCCUGACACUGAGACACGAAGGCCAGGGGAGCAAACGGG